rnacentral:tRNA from 1 species
GGCGCAGUAGCUUAGUUGAUACAGCACUAGUCCAGCGUUUAAAGGUCGUGAGUUCAAAUCUCACCUGAGCUG